rnacentral:rRNA from 1 species
GACGAACGCUGGCGGCGUGCUUAACACAUGCAAGUCGAACGAAGAGCGAUGGAAGCUUGCUUCUAUCAAUCUUAGUGGCGACCGGGUGAGUAACGCGUAAUCAACCUGCCCUUCAGAGGGGGACAACAGUUGGAAACGACUGCUAAUACCGCAUACGAUCUAAUCUCGGCAUCGAGGAUAGAUGAAAGGUGGCCCCUACAUGUAAGCUAUCACUGAAGGAGGGGAUUGCGUCUGAUUAGCUAGUUGGAGGGGUAACGGCCCACCAAGGCGAUGAUCAGUAGCCGGUCUGAGAGGAUGAACGGCCACAUUGGGACUGAGACACGGCCCAGACUCCUACGGGAGGCAGCAGUGGGGAAUCUUCCGCAAUGGACGAAAGUCUGACGGAGCAACGCCGCGUGAGCGAUGACGGCCUUCGGGUUGUAAAGCUCUGUUAAUCGGGACGAAAGGCCUUCUUGCGAAUAGUGAGAAGGAUUGACGGUACCGGAAUAGAAAGCCACGGCUAACUACGUG